GAUGAAGAACGCAGCGAAAUGCGAUAAGUAGUGUGAAUUGCAGAAUUCAGUGAAUCAUCGAAUCUUUGAACGCACAUUGCGCCCCUUGGUAUCCCGAGGGGCAUGUCUGUUCGAGCGUCAUUUCACCACUCAAGCCUGGCUUGGUGUUGGGCGACGUCCCCUUUGGGGACGCGCCUCGAAACGCUCGGCGGCGUGGCACCGGCUUUAAGCGUAGCAGAAUCUUUCGCUUUGGAAGUCGGGGCCCCGUCUGCCGGAAGACCUACUCGCAAGGUUGACCUCAGAUCAGGCAGGGAUACCCGCUGAACUUAAGCAUAUCAAUAAGCGGAGGA
rnacentral:misc_RNA from 1 species